rnacentral:rRNA from 1 species
UACGUAGGGGGCAAGCGUUGUCCGGAAUCAUUGGGCGUAAAGAGCGUGUAGGCGGUUCAGUAAGUCUGCUGUGAAAGUCCAAGGCUCAACCUUGGGAUGCCGGUGGAUACUGCUGAGCUAGAGUACGGAAGAGGCGAGUGGAAUUCCCGGUGUAGCGGUGAAAUGCGCAGAUAUCGGGAGGAACACCUAUUGCGAAGGCAGCUCGCUGGGACGUAACUGACGCUGAGACGCGAAAGCGUGGGGAGCAAACAGG